CCUGAAAGGGUAGGGUGCCCGCAAGGGAGCGUGGAGACAGGUGGUGCAUGGCUGUCGUCAGCUCGUGUCGUGAGAUGUUGGGUUAAGUCCCGCAACGAGCGCAACCCUCACCCCUAGUUGCCACCGGGUAAAGCCGAGCACUCGAGGGGAACUGCCAGCGUCAAGCUGGAGGAAGGCGGGGAUGACGUCAAGUCAUCAUGCCCCUUACGUCCUGGGCUACACACGUGCUACAAUGGCCAGUACAGAGGGAUGCGAUACCGCGAGGUGGAGCCAAUCCCAAAAAGCUGGUCUAAGUUCAGAUUGCAGUCUGCAACUCGACUGCAUGAAGUAGGAAUCGCUAGUAAUCGCGCAUCAGCACGGCGCGGUGAAUACGUUCCCGGGCCUUGUACACACCGCCCGUCACACCACGAAAGCUGG
rnacentral:rRNA from 1 species